UUUAUUCAUUCUUUAACUUUUCUUCAGAAUGAUCUGAUCAUGUUACAACACGGAUUGUUGUUGCUGUUGCUCUGUGUUGGUCGACUCAAAUCAACUGCUACCUUCCCACCUCCAAAUCCCAUCAUCUACAUUCCAAACUUGACCGGGGCGCUAUACGGAUCUUUGUUGAGAGUGAAGAUUGUGAUUCCCGACGUCCAGUUCUUGUGGUGGUUCGGCAUCUCAAGGGGGUCCUCUCCUGGCAGCUACCUCUCCUAGUACAGAAGAGUGGUAGUACUGGGACCAGUUUAAUAUCAGAAUAUAGAUUUGUAAAUAGAACUCUUUGCCCUGUAGGAAAAUAUAACAUAGCGUAUGAUACUUUAUUG